rnacentral:rRNA from 1 species
AGCGAACGCUGGCGGCAGGCUUAACACAUGCAAGUCGAACGGUCCUUCGGGAUAGUGGCGGACGGGUGAGUAACACGUGGGAGCGUACCCUUAGGUUCGGAACAACACAGGGAAACUUGUGCUAAUACCGGAUAAGCCCUUCGGGGGAAAGAUUUAUCGCCUUUGGAGCGGCCCGCGUCUGAUUAGCUUGUUGGUGGGGUAAUGGCUCACCAAGGCUACGAUCAGUAGCUGGUCUGAGAGGAUGGCCAGCCACACUGGGACUGAGACACGGCCCAGACUCCUACGGGAGGCAGCAGUGGGGAAUCUUGCGCAAUGGGCGAAAGCCUGACGCAGCCAUGCCGCGUGGAUGAUGAAGGUCUUAGGAUUGUAAAAUCCUUUCACCGGGGACGAUAAUGACGGUACCCGGAGAAGAAGCCCCGGCUAACUUCGUGCCAGCAGCCGCCGUAA